UUGGAGGGCAAGUCUGGUGCCAGCAGCCGCGGUAAUUCCAGCUCCAAUAGCGUAUAUUAAAGUUGUUGCAGUUGAAAAGCUCGUAGUUGAAUUUCGGGGUUCUACCGUUGGUCGGGCUAACCAGUCUGUGCUAGCGUGUAAAAUUCCUACCUUCUGGAGAACCAUCAUGUUAUUAAUUUAGCGUGGUGGGAAACCAGGACCUUUACCUUGAAAAAUUAGAGUGUUUAAAGCAGGC
rnacentral:rRNA from 1 species